GUUGAACGCUGGCGGCAUGCCUUACACAUGCAAGUCGAACGGUAACGGGUCCUUCGGGAUGCCGACGAGUGGCGAACGGGUGAGUAAUAUAUCGGAACGUGCCCAGUAGUGGGGGAUAACUGCUCGAAAGAGCAGCUAAUACCGCAUACGACCGGAGGGUGAAAGGGGGGGAUCGCAAGACCUCUCGCUUGUGGAGCGGCCGAUAUCAGAUUAGCUAGUUGGUGGGGUAAAGGCCUACCAAGGCAACGAUCUAUAGUUGGUCUGAGUGGACGACCAGCCACACUGGGACUGAGACACGGCCCAGACUCCUGCGGGAGGCAGCAGUGGGGAAUUUUGGACAAUGGGCGCAAGCCUGAUCCAGCAAUGCCGCGUGCAGGAAGAAGGCCUUCGGGUUGUAAACUGCUUUUGUCAGGGAAGAAAUCUUCUGGGCUAAUACCCCGGGAGGAUGACGGUACCUGAAGAAUAAGAACCGGCUAACUACGUGCCAGCAGCCGCCGCAG
rnacentral:rRNA from 1 species